ACCCCAGCACACUGACUGGGGCGCAUCCCUGUGUCGUUUCUGCCCGGAGAGGAGCAGAGGCCAGGCUGCUGCUCUGGGAGAUGUGUGUAGCUGUUGCUGUUCAUUUUCCUGGCUGUGUAGUAUUCCAUGGUAUGCCUGCACCACUAAAGAAAUGCUGUUGUGACCACUGUAAACAUUGGAACCAUCUUUUCCAAGCAGGUUGUGGGUGAACCUGUGCUCAGAACAGCCCAGAUGGCUCUGCCAGGGUGGGAGCCACAGAUGAGAGUCCCAGAUGAGAC